CUGCGACGAAUCACGAAUUCGACUCGGGCGAAGUCAUCACCCUGCUCCGCCUGGUUGCUGCCGACGAGAACUCGCCCAAACCGGUACCUGCCGACGAGGGGUCGCCGAAGAGAUUAAGGGAGAACCGGCCCAGUGUGAACUCAGAGUCGCUUGCAGCCGCCCAGUCGGUCUGAUGCGCUCCUACUGCUACCUGUAGGCUAUCACCCACUAUCUGUAAAUAUCGUAUAAAGUUUUUCGUUUCUUCUUCGUCUGAGGAACGAGUCCGCCUUUCGUCGUCCACCCCGAAGUCGCAACACCGUGCAUUUCAGAGUAUUCGUUGGUUCUCGCGUACACUUAAGCAUCUACAAUAGUAUUCGGCUCGUGCACUCAAGCUGCUCAGACAAGACUCCUUCGGAAUAGCAUCGAUGACAACAUUAAAGAGAUUCGGCAUAUGUAGACGCGUCUUUUGCCAAACGAUGAAUUCGUAACAGGGAUAACAUUCUGAAAAAAAAUUGCAGUGAAAAAGUAAAAUGACCUAUACGAGUGAUAAUAUUCUUGCUGCAGUAAAAGUCAGGUCUCCUCAGCGAUUUUCGCGUCCACAGGUACCCGAAUCCACUUAAAAUAUGUCGUCGAAUGCGCACAUUAGAGGAAUUCACAGGUUCACCAGAUGAUAAAAUAGCUUUCACAUUUACUAAAUGUAUAAAAGAAGGCAAGUUUUGUCCAUGUUUUAUAAGUAUUGCGCGUGAUAACUGUUGCAUCGUUCACGUCGGUAUGUAUUGGAGUCGCUUUAUGCGUGUGGAAUCAAGGGAGCACAGGAGCAUAACUACACACGUGGGUGCGUGCCUUUCUAUUCCUUUGUGCUUACGAACUGUUAUUUCACCUCAUAUAGGCCUCGAGAUCUGGUUACGCGGCGCCACUGUACCGGUACAUGCAGCGCCACAUGCGCCCAUCCGCGGAGAUUUCAGUUGGGGGCACUACUGUUUACGGCCGCGCCGCGCGCAGCGCUAUGUGUGGAGAUGGCGUUGACGAGUGAUCGGCGUGUGUUGUUUUGCGGCUUUCGAAAAAUAGAAAAUAUCGAUCGCUACUUCAAGAAGAGCUGCUUACGCAUGGGUGCGAAGUUGUGCUAUAGCAAGCACGUUUACGCAGUAAGAGAAGAGUCGGUGAACGCAAGAGGCCCGUCGGACAUCGUCGGCAAAUGUGUCGCCCAGAUGAAAAGCGUGGACUACGAUGUGCGUCUUGAGGUGAGCCAAUCCUUUCUUAAAAAAAAAAAAAGAAGUGCCUCAAUAUCGCUAACCGCUUCAUUUUUUGUUUCUUUUUUAGUUGUCAGUAAAUUGCAGAAAUAUCUUGCACGCAAGCUGUACAUGCAAAGCUGACUGCGGAGGCUGGUGCAAGCACGCCGCGGCCGUGGCGAUAUUCGUAAAUGAAUACGAAUAUACAUAGUGCACGGAUGUUCCAUGCGCAUGGAAGAAAAUAUCAUCGCGUCCCAACGUCGAUGUCAAAAAAUCAAUCAAGGAACUCUUUUCCCGUCGACCUUCGCGAAAACCAAUUCUGCAGACGAUGGCACAAAGAGCGCCGCAUCCGCCUAACAAGUUCCAGUGCCCACAAGGUGAAGACGAGGAGAAGUGAUUUUGAUCGUCUGGCCCAAGCACUAGCUGCACCGAAAUGUUUUUCUACAGCUGAAACUUCAUAUGGUAAGAAUUAAAAUAAGCUAUAUGGGCACCA